rnacentral:rRNA from 1 species
ACUCAAAUGAAUUGACGGGGGCCCGCACAAGCGGUGGAGCAUGUGGUUUAAUUCGAUGCUACGCGAAAAACCUUACCUAGGCUUGACAUCCCGCGCUACCCUUCGAAAGUUGGGGUUCUCUUCGGAGACGCGGUGACAGGUGCUGCAUGGCUGUCGUCAGCUCGUGUUGUGAGAUGUUGGGUUAAGUCCCGCAACGAGCGCAACCCUCGUCGCUAGUUGCCAGCAUUAAGUUGGGCACUCUAGUGAGACCGCUUGGCUAUAAGCCAGAGGAAGGUGGGGAUGACGUCAAGUCCUCAUGGCCUUUAUGUCUAGGGCAACACACGUGCUACAAUGGGGGGCACAAAGCGUCGCAAGUCAGCGAUGGCAAGCUAAUCGCAAAAAACCCUCCUCAGUUCGGAUUGGAGUCUGCAAUUCGACUCCAUGAAGCUGGAAUCGCUAGUAAUCGCGGAUCAGAACGCCGCGGUGAAUACGUUCCCGGGCCUUGUACACACCGCCCGU